GUAGGUAUGGUGUUAGUAGUUAGCAUAUGACAUUGCCAAUGUCAAGGGGACAGUUCAAAUCUGUUUAUCUACU
rnacentral:tRNA from 1 species